GACGAACGCUGGCGGCGUGCUUAACACAUGCAAGUCGAACGGAAAGGCCCCUUUGGGGGUACUCGAGUGGCGAACGGGUGAGUAACACGUGAGUAACCUGCCCUUGACUUCGGGAUAACUUCAGGAAACUGGGGCUAAUACCGGAUAGGAAUCCUUGCUGCAUGGUGGGGGUUGGAAAGCUUCGGCGGUUUUGGAUGGACUCGCGGCUUAUCAGCUUGUUGGUGGGGUAGUGGCUUACCAAGGCUUUGACGGGUAGCCGGCCUGAGAGGGCGACCGGCCACAUUGAGACUGAGAGACGGCCCAGACGCCUACUGGAGGCAGCAGUGGGGAAUAUUGCACAAUGGGCAGAAGCCGGAUGCAGCAGCGCCGCGGGCGGGAUGACGGCCUUCGGGUUGUAAACCGCUUUCAGCAGGGGCGAAGCUUGUGGUGACGGUACCUACAGAAGAAGCACCGGCUAACUACGUG
rnacentral:rRNA from 1 species